GCAGCAUAUAGAAAUGUAGGCCAUCCACUAAGAUUUUUAUUUGCAAGUGUCUGUUGUACAUUUACUUUAAAAAAAAAAAAAAAAAAAAGAAAAGGUUAAUCUUUUUAUUAUACAUCCUAUUCUUCUUCUGCCUUCUUAUUAUCAUUCAGUUGUUACUUUCCCAUUUUCAUGGAGCCUUAUGAUGCUGUAUUGUCUCUUCUGGGAGCUGGUAGCAGGGAGACAGUGAAGUUAGAAUUCCUUCAACCUUAUCACAUCCUUCGUCCUUCAAGAGUAGGAAAGAACCCUAUGUUGGUGUAAUGCUUUUUUUUUUUUUGGGUGGGGGGGUGUCUUACAGAUGGAAUCUUCUUUUGCAUUUGUUAUAUGUAUGUGAGCUCAAGGUAGAUAUGCCCAUUUAUCAUUCUUUGAAUGAUUUUCAUACCAGGGUUAACAUGAGGGAAAAAAAGCAUAGGGUGAUAAAUAUUUACUCUAGUGGGAGUCAGGCUCAGCUCUUGGAAAGUGAGUGGGAGUACUCAAUCAACUUCAAAGGGACUUGGAUCGAGCUCUUUAUGCUGUGCUGAAAAAUCAGAGUUUUUUUUUUGUUAAGUUCUCUAUUCUACAGGUACUUACAGUGCGAGUUUAAUGCUGCUGAAUUUCAUGAAUCUGUUCAUGCCAGGGGAUAAUGCAGGUGAGGAAGGGCAAUACUGCAAGUCUGGACUUAGCAAUGUGAAGUGUAUUCCUUUUUUCGUUGUGCUUGAAUUUGCUUCUAGUGAAACCCAUCCUUCCAAAUACGAAGCUUUGCUUUGUCCUAAAUGGUGUUUUUCCCCUUUGAGACUUGAAAGAUGAAGACUUCUGUUAAAAUUGGGUAUCUCAGUAAGGGCAUCUGAAACCUGCUGAGAACUGCAAAGAAAGGUAUGCGAUUUAUAUUCUCACGAUGAAGUGCAUUUUCAACGUAGUCUAUCUCUAUGUGAGAGCUCUGAUCCCAAGGUAUAGCUGGGCAGUGUUCUAGAUUCCCCGCAAAGCUUGUUUUUUCCCUGUAUCCUUUUAAUACUUUUACUUGAAAGAGAACGGAAGAGAGAUGUAUAGUCAAAUCAUAAUUUUAAUUAUUCGUUCACAUACCUGCAGGAAUUAAUAACAUUGGCAAAUAGUUCCUAUUCAUACUUAAAUAGUAAAAAUCAAAUGACACUGUGAAAUUGUACGCUACAUUAUCAGGUAUCUUUCAGCACUGUUCAGGAGCCGUUCUAGGACCAGAUGAUUUGUGGCAGAGGAGGACAGCAAGAUGCAAGACAGCAAAAAGGCAUGGCAAACCAACAGCACUUUAGUUAAAAUGUGAACAUAAGGGAGGCAGAGUGUUGCAUCGUGACUGAAGUAGUAUUUACUACUGUAAGGAAACAUCUGUCAGGCUCACUUAAAGCUGAAUUAAGUAAAGUAUUAUCUGAAGCUGUAACUCUUUAUCAUAGAAGUCCGGUCUGAUGUUGAUGUAUGUUAUACAAAGAGAAGAAGAAAGUUAGUAGGGUAGCAGGGGAUGGAGCAAGCGGUGAUGAGCCAUAAACAAAGGCAAGUUCAGGGAAAACUUAAACUGUUCCAGGAAGCAGACGUCCCUACUUGUUAGCAACUUCAUUCUUUGUGCGUUCUUUCCAAAUGUGUUCCCCCCCACUUGUAAGUCAUUUUGUCAAAUCUUAACUAAAUUUCAGGCUGGUUUCUCUCAUUCCUCUUUGUCAGUAACCUCAGUAACCAAAACUGGGCUCCACUCUUACAAGUCAGGAGUAGUGGGAACAUACUGGGUUUUAAGGAACAGCUAAGCUAGAGCUUUGGACUAAGUUAAAUCCAUUUAUGAACAUGUUUGGCUCAGUAAGGGUUAUGCCAACUGUUUCAUGAAAUGUAGCACUGUUUUCUUGUAGACAAGUGGCAUGAAGAAAAACGUGAAAACAUCCAAGUCGAGGCUUUCUAGCUGAACCUGUUCUCUGUGAGAUGAGACAUCUGCAUGCAUUUUCCCAUCUGACUUGAGGCGGGUGGGAAGAAAACCUUCCAGUGAAAUCUGCUGGAUUUUUCAUUCUCUCAGUUGAUAAAGCUGAGUUUGGAAUGUGAAUUUUCUGAAAUCCUUCUGUUAUCACAGGUGCUGUACACCCGUGUUAGCAGGCUGUCACUGUUGUUUUUAAGGUGGCUGUUGCCAUAUGUUGUCCAACUCAGGGUGCCUGUUUAUUUAGCUGAUUCAUCUGUAUUCUCACAGACACAGAAUUUUUCAAAAACAGUGCUAAGCUAUUAAGUUUUAAUAGAUUUUGCUAAAUGCAAGUUAAUAUGACUGAAAGAAAAAACAGGUUUGAUUGGCUGUUUUAGAGAAGGCAACUUAAGAUCUGGUCCAUUCUUAGGCAUGAAAUUAAGUUCACAGAUCUGACGGAUCAUCCUGAAUCAUAGAAUAAUUCAGGUUGGAAGGAACCUCAGGAUGUCACCUAAUCCAACCUCCUCCUUGAAGUGGGUCCAACUAGAAAAGGUUGCUCAGUGCCUUGUCCUUUUCAGUUUUGAAUAUCUCCGAGGAUGGAGGCUCCACGGUCUUCCAGGCCUGCUGUUCUGGUAUUUGACCAGCCUUGUGAUUAAAGUAAUUUUACCUGAUAUUUGAUUGGAAUUUCCCGUGUCACAGCCUCUGUCCUUUGCCCCUUGUCCUAUACAGCUGCAAAAAAGCGUGGCUCCUUCUCUUUACCCUCAUCUGGUGGUUGAAGACAGCAGUAGGUCUCCCUUUAACUAUUUCUUCUUAAGCCUGAACAAACCCAACCAACCUCACUUCAAUGCGUUUAAAUGCUUGAGUUUAUUGAUAUGUUAGAUUCUUACCCGUCCUUGAAAAUUUGCUUUUAAACAAAGUCGAAGAUAGGUUUCUUUCUUGCUCUGUAAUUUUCUCUGACUGUUCGUGUCAUUGUAUGCAAUGCCUGGAAUGGUAUGGAAAAUUUCUCAGAAAAGCCAAUAUGCUGUGCAUCUUUUUUUUUCUCUUCAGUAGCUACAUUUGUGUAACUGCAAAAUCACCACUGCUAAUGGUCAUGUUUGCUUCUUACCUUUAAAAUUCUUUUUAAUCAUUUGUCUUGAACUUUCUCAUUUUAAACAAUGCUAUUAGCAGCUUCUCAUUUAAAAUAAAUAGUGCCUUUUAGAAACCAAAUGUACCAACUUCAGAGAGCACUGCCAAUGAAAUAUUCUAGCAAACUGAAACUUGAGUUUGUAUCUCGGUGAAGUGCUGCCUGCUAAAUACUGAGGCAAUGGUCGUGUUUUGUUCUCGACCUGAGUGUUCAAGACUGAAAUGGUAAAAAAAAAAAAAAUAAAAAAAAAUAAAAAAAUCAAGUGAUGUAGGAAGCCUGCCUUGUGCAAUUGUGUAUAUUGCUUCGUGCUGUUGCGUUGUGGAAUGAGCUAGUUACAAUUGUGGAGCCCCUCUUAAAACGUUUGUUUUGUGUUCUUUCUCUGCUGUAGAGAAGUCCUGAAUUGAGAGGCUGGUAAGGAGGCAAAAGUAGAGUUCAGCAUUUAUAAUUUUCUUAUCUCAGCUGGAGUUUUGAAACUAGUUUUGAAGUGAGUAAUCUGCCCAGUGCCUCAAGAGUGUACUUACUGAUGCUGCAGGCUGGAAAAAACACUUACUGCAAGCUGUGCACAGAUGGGGAGCGUUGAUGUCUAAGUUGGGGGUUUGAGGUUGCUGACCUCUGUGCAGUUAGGGCUCAGGUUAGCAGAAAGGUUAAUCCUGUAGCGUACCCAAAGCUAGCAUAAGUAUUAGAGAAGAUUGAGUAUGCUCAGCAUUUAGCUUCAGUCUGGCUUGUGGCCUCAUGCUUAGGAGCUAGCUUUACGGAAAGACCUGAGCAACUUUGCUCAGCAGAGCUCUCUGAAUCCCUUUUUCUUUUCCUUUUUCUUUCCUUUACCCCCCAGAAUGUAUUAGGGAUGUUUAAUGUAUCUGCGAGUCUCUCCCUUCUCUUUUAAAUUUGUGUGGUUAUGAAUCAUAUUACAUCGUGCUGCAAAUAAAGGAGAAAAAUCCUGAAGCACUUGUAUGACUAGCAGUAAAUCAGCUUGGCUUGGAGGAAGCAUGAUAAAAUAAGCAGUCAGAUGUGGUGUGCUGGAGUCUUACAAACACUACUCUUGAUUGUUCUUUCCAAACAUCAAAAUACUUUUGGGGACCAUUUAAGUGGGUACGGCUUAAGCUUUUACUACCGGCAUCAUGUUCAGGUAAAAGGGGGCCAUGGAAAUCUGGUGGUUCAUUAAUUGGAUAGUCCUCUCUUCGUUUUAAACAGUGCUUAGCAUUGAAACAGUAGUUAAGGAGGGGUAAGAAGGGCUGCGAGUGGAGGCAUGCUGAAGUCUUGCUGUUCUUGCUAUUGGUACUCUUGUCAAGGGGAGAAAAAUGGCCAUGAGACAGCAGCAAUGACUGGAAGAAGCCUAGAGGGUGUUUUUUGGCUCAACCAGAUGCUGGAAGAAAUUAACUGGGGGUGGAAGGAGGACUCUGGCAGCCUGGAAAGUGUCUGUGGAAAUGGUGUGUAUUAGGUGCGAGAGUCUCUGAACAGAUUCAUUUUGUUGUGCUGAGACCCCCUCACCUAUGCCUCAUUAGAUGUGUUUUAUACUGGACUUGUGUGCAUCCGUCUGCUGUAGAAGGAGAACAUUACACCAAAAUAGACUGAGUAGUAAACUGCAAAUCAGCUGAAAUAAUGGCAUCAUACCUUUAAAAACAGUAAAGGGUGUUUUUACUUAACCCCCCCCUUGAAGUUGAUACUGCUUCCUUAUUCUCUGCUUGGUGUAUGUUGGAGUCGUUGGUCACUUUGGAAGUGCCAUCUCCUCACAGUGGAGCUGUGCUCUUUUUUCCUAUGUAAGAAGUGAAUUGGUAUAGCCGGACAGCUGCCUCUUAAUGCCCCUUCCCCAAUUGUCUGCCACCACCAAUUUUAGUUAGUUACAUCUCUGAGUUUGAAUUCCCAUCAAGAGGAGUGAA